rnacentral:rRNA from 1 species
AUUGAACGCUGGCGGCAUGCUUUACACAUGCAAGUCGAACGGCAGCGCGGGCUUCGGCCUGGCGGCGAGUGGCGGACGGGCGAGUAAUGCAUCAGAACGUCCCCAGUUGCGGGUGCUAGGGCGGCGACGGCCGGAUUAAUACCGCAUACGACCUGAGGGUGUAAGCGGGGGACCGAAAGGCCUCGGGCCAUUGGAGCGUCCGAUGUCGGAUUAGCUAGUUGGUGGGGUAAAGGCUUACCAAGGCGACGAUCCGUAGCUGGUCUGAGAGGACGACCAGCCACACUGGGACUGAGACACGGCCCAGACUCCUACGGGAGGCAGCAGUGGGGAAUUUUGGACAAUGGGGGCAAGCCUGAUCCAGCCAUGCCGCGUGCGGGAAGAAGGCCUUCGGGUUGUAAAGCGCUUUUGUUCGGGAAGAAAUCCUGUGGGCUAAUACCCCGGGGGGAUGACGGUACCGGAAGAAUAAGCACCGGCUAACUACGUG